rnacentral:rRNA from 1 species
UACGUAGGGACCAAGCGUUGUUCGGAUUUACUGGGCGUAAAGGGCGCGUAGGCGGCGUGGUAAGUCACUUGUGAAAUCUCUGAGCUUAACUCAGAACGGUCAAGUGAUACUGCUGUGCUAGAGUGCGGAAGGGGCAAUCGGAAUUCUUGGUGUAGCGGUGAAAUGCGUAGAUAUCUGGAGGAAUACCGGUGGCGAAGGCGGCAUCCUGGACCGACAUUGACGCUGAGGAGCGAAAGCCAGGGGAGCAACGGGAUUAAG